rnacentral:rRNA from 1 species
CAGGCCUAACACAUGCAAGUCGAGCGGAAACGAUGGAAGCUUGCUUCCAGGCGUCGAGCGGCGGACGGGUGAGUAAUGCAUGGGAAUCUGCCCGAUAGUGGGGGAUAACCUGGGGAAACCCAGGCUAAUACCGCAUACGUCCUACGGGAGAAAGCAGGGGAUCUUCGGACCUUGCGCUAUCGGAUGAGCCCAUGUCGGAUUAGCUAGUUGGUGGGGUAAUGGCCUACCAAGGCGACGAUCCGUAGCUGGUCUGAGAGGAUGAUCAGCCACAUCGGGACUGAGACACGGCCCGAACUCCUACGGGAGGCGGCAGUGGGGAAUAUUGGACAAUGGGCGAAAGCCUGAUCCAGCCAUGCCGCGUGUGUGAAGAAGGCUUUCGGGUUGUAAAGCACUUUCAGUGAGGAAGAACGCCUCUGGACUAAUACUCCGGAGGAAAGACAUCACUCACAGAAGAAGCACCGGCUAACUCCGUGCCAGCAGCCGCGGUAAUACGGAGGGUGCGAGCGUUAAUCGGAAUUACUGGGCGUAAAGCGCGCGUAGGUGGCUUGAUAAGCCGGUUGUGAAAGCCCCGGGCUCAACCUGGGAACGGCAUCCGGAACUGUCAGGCUAGAGUGCAGGAGAGGAAGGUAGAAUUCCCGGUGUAGCGGUGAAAUGCGUAGAGAUCGGGAGGAAUACCAGUGGCGAAGGCGGCCUUCUGGACUGACACUGACACUGAGG